UACAGAGGUGGCAAGCGUUGUUCGGAAUUACUGGGCGUAAAGGGCGCGUAGGCGGCUCGACAAGUCCCGCGUGAAAGCCCCCGGCUCAACUGGGGAACUGCGCGGGAAACUGUCGGACUUGAGUUCGGGAGAGGGAAGCGGAAUUCCGGGUGUAGCGGUGAAGUGCGUAGAUAUCCGGAGGAACACCGGUGGCGAAGGCGGCUUCCUGGACCGACACUGACGCUGAGGCGCGAAAGCUAGGGGAGCAAACGGG
rnacentral:rRNA from 1 species